rnacentral:lncRNA from 10 species
AUUUACUCAUCUUUAAAAUGAGAAUAGUACCUUGCAUGGAAUGAGAUCAAGAAUAUGAAAGCAUAUCUACAUCCUUAAAAGAUGAAAAAUGAAAAAGAGGAGAAGGGGAUGCCAUUUGCUCAAGGCUGCUGGAACGCUAGGCUGGCUCUGGGACUAUCACGAAAAGUUUCUAACCCCCCGCCACGGCUCUUCUCACAACACAAGAAUGAGCUCAGAGAGGUUAAUGAACCUGCCAAAGACCCCAGCUGAGAGACUGAGUUGGUUUGCAGAUUCCAAAGCCCACAUUCAUUCCAUUUUAUCUCAUCUUUAGUGGACUUUGAACAUGCCUCAGCCUUCACCUUGACCCUUGGUGAAGGUGCUGAGAACCAAGACCCAGUGCAGCGGUGUCUCUGGAACCUCCUGGAGCUCAGCAGCCGACUCCCAAACCUGGAGGUCCUCACUCUGCACCCUGUGCUCUGCCCUCUGGCUGAUCCUCAGCAUUCCCAGGCAGCCUGGCUCCCUGUAAAGUUGUUUAAACUUCUGUUUAUCAUCAUCUUCCAUCAUUUCUAAUUGUUUUCCUGUGUCCCUUUCUUUUGUAGAGGAUAUAAACUCAGCAUUUUAGCUUUUGAAAUAGAUUUGCUGUGCAGUUUCAUGGCUCUUUAGUGGCUUAAAAUGUAUUGUUCUGUGAGUCUUUCUGUGCCCGUCACAGCAUUCACUGUGGGAAGCAGCAGGACGCCAGCGAUGCUGAUGUUUAUUUGAUUUUAGGGGACUUUAAGGCAUUCCUGGGACCAUACGGAUUCUAAAUAUUCUGCCUCAUUGUCUUCAGAAGCUACUAAAAUAUCCUAGAAAUGAUCAUGUUUCAGCAUGUAAGCUACAUAUUUCACGUUACCUCUUGUAUCCAUCCAUACAUAGCCUCUAUCAAGAGCCUGGCAUAAGCCAAUGUAAUGGUUCUGAAAUGGUAACCACAUGGUUCUUCAAUCACUAAAACCCUUUCCACUCUGAGAUUGGACAUUCAUUGCUAUUUUCUGCCAGGGCUUUGAUUUACAAGACUGUCUAUGAGUUCUGUGUUUAAUAUACAGAACUGGCUGCCCUCAAUGCAUGAGACUUCCUGGUAUUUUUUUCAUGUGAUUAGAUGGAUUACAUUUGUUUCAUAUUUAUUGUUUAGAUAUACAAGUAAUCCUCACUUUGCACAGUGUCAUGUCUGCAUAUUGAAACCCUAUACUCACUUUGUGCAAUCCUUUGGUAAGUGCAAAGUGAGAACACAGGUCUGAUAUGUACAAGUUUCAGUGAACAUGGUACUAUGCAUCAUGAAGACUAUCUGAAGUUGCUUUCAAAUAAAAUUUGGAUAAGGAC